rnacentral:lncRNA from 1 species
GCGCCUCUCCCUCCACACCUCCCCACAAGCUGAGGGAGCCGGCUGCGGCCUUCGCCAGCCCAGAAAGGGGCUCCUACAGUGCAGUGGCGGGCUGAAGGGCUGCUCAAGCGCCGCCAAAGUGGGAGCCCAGGCAGAGGAGGCGCCCAGAGCGAGCGAGGGCUGUGAGGACUGCCAGCACGCUGUCACCUCUCACUCAUAUAGAUUGCCAAUCUAUUUGUGAACCAGGUUUGCUGGAGUUUGGAUUUACUACUGAGUCAUAUUUGGAGCAUGCUGGAAUCUUACAACUGAGAUUACCGAGUCAGAAACUGUUGUUUUUGUUGUAAGAACACUCAACAUGGCCGGGCACGGUGGCUCACACCUGUAAUCCCAGCACUUUGGGAGGCCGAGGCAGGUGGAUCACCUGAGGUCAGGAGUUCAAGACCAGCCUUACCAACAUGGUGAAACCCCAUCUCUACUAAAAACACAAAAAAGAGUUUGACUGUUCUCGUCGGCAUGGUUGAGACAUUAUCCCUGGCAGAAGGCUGGACUGGCAUGGACAUCAUUUGAUGAGUUCGUCUCCUCUUAACAAUCAAAGCCUGUUUUCCAGUGCGAAUAAACUGUUGCCUUAUAUAUUGUUUUCCCAUUUUUAUAGUUGUUUACUGCAAAAAAGAGUCUGGUACAAGUUACUUUGCUAAAACCUUGAUAAAGUUUUAUUCUACGAUUCUUCAAUCAAUGUUUCUGUUUUGUUUAUUCUGUUAUCUCUGUUGUGUCAUACCAUAAUUCUCUCAUUAAUAGCUCAUAUUCUUUUUCAUAGCUAUUCAAUUCUUUAGCAGUUUCUACUUUUAUGUUUGGGAGAAAAUUGAAAGCUUGAUUUCUUAUUUUGACAAGUUUUCUAAAGGUUUCAGCAUGCAAUAUUUUUUUUCAUAGCCUUACAGUUUGUAAUAGUUCAUCUGAUUGUAAAGCUCUUACAAUCUUUCCUGAUUUUAAGUCAUUUUAACAACGACUUUCUCUCUUUUUUAUUUUUAAGAAACAAUGUCCUCCUUUUCAUUUGUUGAGAACUCUACUCAGCUUUUAAAAAACUUCCUGUGUAUGUACCUUAAUUCUUUUGACAAUAAAACAUUACUC